rnacentral:rRNA from 1 species
UACGUAGGGAGCAAGCGUUGUCCGGAUUUACUGGGUGUAAAGGGUGCGUAGGCGGUAACACAAGUCAGGCGUGAAAUACCGGGGCUCAACUCCGGGGCUGCGCUUGAAACUGUGUUUCUUGAGUGAAGUAGAGGCAGGCGGAAUUCCUAGUGUAGCGGUGGAAUGCGUAGAUAUUAGGAGGAACACCAGUGGCGAAGGCGGCCUGCUGGGCUUUAACUGACGCUGAUGCACGAAAGCAUGGGGAGCAAACAGG